rnacentral:rRNA from 1 species
CCUACGGGAGGCAGCAGUGAGGAAUAUUGGUCAAUGGGCGCGAGCCUGAACCAGCCAAGUAGCGUGAAGGAUGACUGCCCUACGGGUUGUAAACUUCUUUUAUCAAGGAAUAAAGUGAGGCACGUGUGCCUUUUUGUAUGUACUUUAUGAAUAAGGAUCGGCUAACUCCGUGCCAGCAGCCGCGGUAAUACGGAGGAUCCGAGCGUUAUCCGGAUUUAUUGGGGUUAAAGGGAGUGUAGGGGGGUUUGUAAGUCAGUUGUGAAAGUUUGGGGCUCAAACGUAUAAUUGCAAUUGAUACUGGCAGCCUUGAGUACAAUUGAGGUAUGCGGAAUGCGUGGUGUAGCGGUGAAAUGCAUAGAUAUCACGAAGAACCCCGAUUGCGAAGGCAGCCUACUAACUUGCCACUGACGUUGAUGCUCGAAAGUGUGGGUAUCAAACAGGAUUAGAUACCCUAGUAGUC